rfam:Ailuropoda melanoleuca scaffold1841_64, whole genome shotgun sequence.
GGAUGUGAGGGCGAUCUGGCUGCAACAUCCGUCACCCCAUUGAUCGCCAGGGUUGAUUCGGCUGAUCUGGCUGGCUAGGCGUGUGUCCCCGUCCUCCCUCACCGCUCCAUGUGCGUCCCUUCCGAAGCUGUGCACUCGGUCGAAGAGGAUGACCUUCCCCGAUAGAGGAGGACCGUUCUUCAGUCAGGGGUAUAGCACUCCCCUGCUAGAACCCCAAACAAGCUCUCGAGAAGGCUGGAUGCUUUGACCCCUUUGCACCACAUCAGACCCUCCAGACCUC